rnacentral:lncRNA from 10 species
CCUUCGGGUGCCUUCUUGUCUGCAGGGCUCAGCAACCACCAACUAUUCAUUCUGGUGCUUGAUUGCACUCCCCAACGAGAUUGAAAAUUCUUUAAGGUCCAGGACUCCAACUAUAGUAGGCGGGAUGUGAUAUUUAAACCAAACUUAAAAGACAGAAGAGGACAGCCAGGCAAAAGACAUUGGACACAUAUUCCAGGCAGAGAGAACACCCUUCAGAAAGGCCCCGAGGAGCAAGAGAAGUAGAAUAUUUAAGGAUCUGAAAGCAGCUCAAGUGACCAGAGCAGCAAGCCAGAGGGAUGAGGCCUGGAGAUGGGCUGUACACACCACACCCGGCCUGAGGUCUCAGCGAGGGCCGUGCUUUUAUCUGCAAGCCACAGGGAGCCAACCUUCCAGGGCAAGUGACGGGCCAAUUCUCACUUUCAAAGAUGCAGGUGAAAAUGGACAGCGGAGACACAGAGGCGAGUUAGGAGCCCAAGCAGGGUUUAGGGGAGAGAAGGUGGUGGCAGAGACUCCUCUGUCUGUGCACCUCCCAUCACAGUGUUUUACACGGCACACACAGACAUGGAUUUAUUGCAAAUUGGGCAAAUGAAGUUAUUCUACUGGUUGCUUUUCUACAUGACCAACUCAGGCUUAGCUGCCCAGCUUUUUCUUUUUCCUUUGAGAAGGUAAUUCCGUGGCUUUUUUUUUCCUUUCUUAACCUGAAAGUGUCCCGGUGUUUGAUUUCAUGGAGCAAAAUAAAAACCCUGGAGGAAUACACAUGCCACAGAAACGCCUUGAGACAAAAAAACGUUUGGCUAAUAGUUUUGGUAUUUUCUAUGCCUUCCCCGGUAUGCAGGAAAGUCACAGCAGUGUGAUACAAAGGAGUGUAUGGUGAUAAAAAAGCGCAGGCCCAGGGACCUCUGGAAACUGGGCUGGCGGUAGAGCUAUGGGGCAAUAGCGUUCUCAGUAGUAGGCUGCCUUGUCAUGGGAGGGCUGGAGUGAGGGCCACUGUGCGGAGGGAAAGCGACCGUGCUCUGGGGUGGGGGUGGGAAUGGGGAAUAAAACAGAAAUAGAAUCUGCGGUGAGAGCACCACCAAGCCACCCAACCCCCACACUGGGGAGACAAAGGGCCCUCUGGGGAGGGAAGGUCCUGGCCCACCUCCUUGGAGGGCGCCUCUGGGCGGUCCUGGCCUGCCCAGGGGCAAGGAGAUGGGCCUCACAGCGAUAUUGGCUCU